ACAUAGCCUUUGGGGUCUCUGGAGAAGCUUAGCAUGAAGUCCCUCUGGAUCUUGAGCUGGUUUAUGGACUCAAUCGUCUCAUGGAUCUGCAGACUGCUCAUCUGCAACCACACCCUGGUCUCAGAAAAGUCUCCUCUAUCAUCUCUGGGUUAAUGUCCCACUCCAGCUCUGGGCUUGGGCCCCACCUUACUGUCCAGAGCACUGAUCUCCUGCUGGUUGGCCGUGGAUAGGAGGAAGCUGCUCAUCUGCCCCUUUAAUGGCUCCUCCACCUCCACGUCAAUGUCAUAGCACGCCGUCUUCUUCUGGUCUGAAGGGUCCACGCUGCCAGGGAAGUCCAGCCCUUCGUGUCCACGAUGCCCCCAUACGGCCCCAGGGCCCCGGGGCUGGGGCAGAUCCAACAGGGAGGGAGAAGAGAUGGGAGUGGGAGGAGAGGGAGGGGCAGGGAAGGCAGGAACGAGAUCAUUCCCUGGUCUGAGAAGCAAGCUGGGGCCACCUCACCUGAUGACAUGGUUGAUGACAAUUGGGUCAGGGGGCAAUAGCAGGGCUGUGAGGCGCUGGGGAAUCUCAGAAAACUUCAGCCGGGGACAAUCAAAAAUCUGAAGCAGGACAAUUGGGGAGAGAGAGAUCACUCUUCUUGAAGAGAUCAUCAUGCAGUUGUAGAUCCUUUUGUUCUAGAAAGGCCACAAGAAGCUGAGAGGAAGUCUGAUUCCUCAGUGCGCAUGGGGAUGGGAUUGGGGUGGGCUGGUCUGGUGGUGGAGCCACCGGUAUGGCUGACAAGAUAGGGGGUGGGUCAGUGUGGGGCAGGGGUUGAGAGUGCGGGCCCUGGGUCAGCCUGCUUAUGUAUCAGUCCUGCCUCUGCCACUUACUAUGCAACCUGGAGCAAGUUAACACCUCAGGGCUCAGUGUCUUCAUCUCUAGAGUGGGGAUGAAAAGAAUACCUAUCUCCCAGGGCUGCCGUGAGAAGUCAGUGAACUAAUACACAUAAAGUGCUUGGGACAGUGCCUGGCACAUGGUAAGUGCCCAAUAAAUAUCAACUGCUAUUUUUACUCCUCA